rnacentral:rRNA from 1 species
GAUAAACGCUGGCGGCGUGCCUAACACAUGCAAGUCGAACGCGCACGGAGCAAUUCGUGUGAGUGGCGGACGGGUGAGUAACACGUGGGUACCUACCCUUUGGUGAGGAAUACCGGCGAGAAAUCGCCGACAAUACCGCAUAUGCUUCGCAAGAAGCAAAGCUUCGUAAGAGGCGCCGAAGGAAGGGCCUGCGGCCGAUUAGCUAGUUGGUGGGGUAACGGCCUACCAAGGCGACGAUCGGUAGCUGGUCUGAGAGGAUGAUCAGCCACACUGGGAUUGAGAACGGCCCAGACUCCUACGGGGGGCAGCAGUGAGGAAUUUUCGUCGAUGGGGGAAACCCUGAACGAGCAACGCCGCGUGCAGGAAGAAGGUUUUCGGAUCGUAAACUGCUUUUCUCUGGGACGAGAACGGACGGUACCAGAGGAAGAAGCCCCGGCUAACUACGUGCCAGCAGCCGCGGUAAUACGUAGGGGGCAAGCGUUGUCCGGAGUUACUGGGCGUAAAGCGCACGCAGGCGGUCGACCAAGUUCGGAGUGACAGUUUCCGGCUUAACUGGGAAAGGUCUUCGAAAACUGGCCGACUUGAGAACUUGAGGGGGAGACGGAAUUCCGGGUGGAGCGGUGAAAUGCGUAGAGAUCCGGAGGAGCACCGAAGGCGAAGGCAGUCUCCUGGCAAGGUUCUGACGCUCAGGUGCGAAAGCUAGG